GACGAACGCUGGCGGCGUGCCUAAUACAUGCAAGUAGAACGCACAGUUUAUACCGUAGCUUGCUACACCAUAGACUGUGAGUUGCGAACGGGUGAGUAACGCGUAGGUAACCUGCCUGGUAGCGGGGGAUAACUAUUGGAAACGAUAGCUAAUACCGCAUAAUAUUAAUUAUUGCAUGAUAAUUAAUUGAAAGGUGCAAUUGCACCACUACCAGAUGGACCUGCGUUGUAUUAGCUAGUAGGUGAGGUAACGGCUCACCUAGGCGACGAUACAUAGCCGACCAGAAAGGGUGAGCGGCCACACUGGGACGGAGACACGGCCCAGACUCCUACGAGAGACAGCAGUAGGGAAUCUUCGGCAAUGGACGAAAGGCUGACCGAGCAACGCCGCGUGAGUGUAGAAGGUUUUCGGAUCGUAAAGCUCAGUUGUAAGAGAAGAACGGGUGUGAGAGUGGAAAGUUCACACUGUGACGGUAUCUUACCAGAAAGGGACGGCUAACUACGUG
rnacentral:rRNA from 1 species